rnacentral:rRNA from 1 species
GACGAACGCUGGCGGCGUGCUUAACACAUGCAAGUCGAACGGAAAGGCCCUGCUUUUGUGGGGUGCUCGAGUGGCGAACGGGUGAGUAACACGUGAGUAACCUGCCCUUGACUUUGGGAUAACUUCAGGAGACUGGGGCUAAUACCGGAUAGGAGCUCCUGCUGCAUGGUGGGGGUUGGAAAGUUUCGGCGGUUGGGGAUGGACUCGCGGCUUAUCAGCUUGUUGGUGGGGUAGUGGCUUACCAAGGCUUUGACGGGUAGCCGGCCUGGGAGGGUGACCGGCCACAUGGGGACUGAGGGACGGCGCAGACGCCUACGGGAGGCAGCAGGGGGGAAUAUUGCACAGUGAGCGGAAGCCUGAUGCAGCAACGCCGCGGGCGGGAUGACGGCCUUCGGGUUGUAAACCGCUUUCGCCUGUGACGAAGCGUGAGUGACGGUAAUGGGUAAAGAAGCACCGGCUAACUACGUG